ACUGUAUACAAUUUUCCAAAACUUUAAAUCUCUUUAGGUUUCAUAAAGAACUGAAAAAUUAGCGGUUGCUUGGUUACAAUUGUUUUGAACUUUUCUGACAGGUCCAAGAAUUGUGUUUCAAACAUUAAAGAAACGAACAAGAAAAGAAAAUCCGAUAUAAUUCCAUUUAGUUUGCCGAGGACUUACAUAUGAAUUUCAAGUAGUACGUAUGAAAGGGAUUUGUUUCGAAGUUAAGUCUUUUUGUUCUGCAUAAUUGUCAAAUAUAUUGAUCGAGAUUUUCAGUUGUAAAAGGAAAAGUCAUGUUUACAUUUCUAAUUCAUUUCCGCUGGGUUUAAAGCUUCUGCUAAUUUUCUUUUGGAUUUUAAAAAUUCAUCUUUAGAUUUGUUGUGGAUUAAGCUUAUCCGAGUUAUUUGUUCCGAACGUACCUUCCAGCUCCAUUGAUAUUUACAGUUUUCUCUUCUAAAUCACUUAUUUUAAUCUCCCUGGUUCUACUUCGACUUAUUGUGAUCCUACAGAAUCUAGAUAAACUUCGAUUCUUCCGCCCUGGCGAAAUCUGAUAAAUCUCUAGUUUAUCAAUUGAGUUCUGAACGUAUCAUUUCAUCCGAUCGUCGUUGCCAUUUGAACUUCAAGGCUUUUAAAAUAUCAAUGUCUGUAUAAGGUGUGCUAUUUUCAGUAUUCUCUAUUUCUAUACGAAAUGUAUUUACUUUAUUCUCCGACCUGCCUGCGUAUUUUCAAUGCCGAAAAUUUAAUUAAACGAGGUGCAGUAUGCAGAAAAAAGGGGAAGAACUUGAGAUUAAAGUUCAAAGGGAAAGUAAAAAAUUGUCUUCACUAUGGAUGGGAAAUUCAAACUGUUCAUGAAAGACCGAUUUUGAAUCAAAAUUUCAGUACUCAGUUUUCUUUCUCUUUUAUCCCAAUUGCGUUAAUCGUAAAACUCAGCCCAAGACUACUGAUAAUUACGCCGACAGUCCCAACUUUUCCAAGAGUUGGAAGUCUCAGAAUAUUAACUGUGGCUUUGUGUUAUCAUGACAUUCCUGACAUCACUAAUAUAAGGCACUUGACAGAAAUACAUUGACAGAAAUCGGUUUGCGUAAGAAAAUCGUGAAGAACAUUGUUCUUCCUCGCUUCAAUGGGGCCUGCGUUGAUCGGUAACCUGGCUCGUCAAAGAAUUACGCAUUUCUGUGAUGACUUCAUGGCAAGAUAAGAAAAACUCAAACAGACCACUGGACACGGAAGCUCAAUUCUUUGCCAGCGUUUAAUUUCAUUUUUGUAAAUAAUGUAAUCAGCUUAGCUCUUUUGGUUAGCCAGCUGCUGUUUUUGUCUGUUAUCUUCGAAUGAGACUGUACCCCAAAAAGAAAUUUAUCGCUUCUUAUGCAUGGAAAAAAAAAUCCACGGAUAAAUAAAACAACGCAAUCAUUCGAGAAAAAUCGAAACGCACUGAGACCGAUGACAUCAGCGUCGGGCUUAAGAAUAAGAGUAACUUCGUUAACUGUUCAGUAUUACAGCGAAUUCGCAAGUAAGAUCAAUAAUUGCCGUCUUGUUUUAAGAGCUGUGGUCAAUUUGGUCCGAUAUACGUAAACCUAUUGAUAAACUGGCCUCUUACAAAUUUUAAGCGUGUUAUUGCUCUUACGAUGUUUAUUUUCAUUUCAUUGUUAUGGUUUUCCUUUCCACGCCAAGUAAGUGUUCUCACGGUACAAUCGAUUGUUUUUGUUUUUCGUAUUCAGAUUGCCACCGGCUUUUUGAACUUGGGAUGAAAAGCAGAAAUACAAAAUAGGUUUCCCGCUGACACAAACGGUUCACGUCUCACUCCUUCAGCGAUUUAAACACAAUUCUGAAUCUUUUAACAGUCAAAUUAGUAGCUCCUAGAGGUAAAUCUCUGAAGUAAUGUGUCCUUAAAAUAAAGCAAAGCCUUGGGAUCAGCCAUUUCGUGGGCUAUGCGUCUUGUUUUUAUUUCUCGCAUAACAUAAGUCUUUGGAGGCGAUUACGAGCGAGUAGACAUUUACCGACAAGGGCGAAUUGUCUUCACCCUUGUUUCGUGCAAAAGGUGGGGAAAUUAGAUGAAAGCAACUGACAUUGUUCGGAGAUGUCUCACUAUCGCCACUAACUGAUUCUUCUUGAUCUCCAAAUUGCGCCUGAUCAGCUAACAGGUGCCUUUUUUCGGUGCGUGGAUCAGAUAAUGAUAAUCAUAAAAGCCCUUUUCGGCCAACAAUCUAGCUGUGUAUAAACGGAUGUGUUCGUAGGUACAAUUUUAGUUCCGCUGUUGACAAUUUUAAAAACCUUUUACAAAAAAAAAAAAGCCCUUCACAAGCCGGUGCUUUAAAAAUUGUAUUGACGCUUUGAGCCAAAGUAGUCAGAAUGUUCAAGAGAAGAAAGCGACUGGGGUGUGAAUAAUUGUAGUUAUCUGAUCCUACUCGCAUUGUUUGCUGUCUGUAAUUUGGGUAAUAUUGCCCCAACGACUAACAGCAUGAGCUGUCAAACAGAAUAAAUUGCUGUCCAUUUAGGGUCAAAAUUAUUCGUCGAUCGCAUUUUCCUGGAGGUUUCAUAACCGGUGCUAAAGUCGAGCACUUAUUGAUGUGCGCGGCAUUUACCGUUCAUUCAUAACUAACUGUGCGUGUUACGAGAGCUCCCACAAUUUACGUUAUUCAUAGUUCUGAGACGCUACGCCGAGUUCCGCGUUCUUGUUGUCGGCUAUCAUACCGUAAGUGGAAAACGUCGUUAACAAGAGAAAGUAUCAGGAUUUUACACAAAAACGCAGAUAGGAAAGAUGCCACAGACUCUAAGUUUAACAGUUCUGGCGCUGUUACUUUGUUCACUUUUGCCUUUAAUCAGCACCCAACAAUGUUUAACGGAGUGCGAAACGUGCCUCCACAUAUGUACUUUUAAUGGAGUGGUUCAGGACAAAAUCCUUCAGGAUGGAUACACUGUUGACGAACUAUGCUUCGAUCCAGCUACUGAAUGUCGACAAAACUGUGAAUUGCCGGGCUAUAAACCCUAUCCUUGCUGGUUCGAGGGAAACUGAUAGGACCAAACAAGCUGUGAUUUAUGCAACAGAAUUAAACAAACUUCAACAGUUUCAAAACGA